UACAGAGGGUGCAAGCGUUAAUCGGAAUUACUGGCGUAAAGCGCGCGUAGGUGGUUUGUUAAGUUGGAUGUGAAAUCCCCGGGCUCAACCUGGGAACUGCAUUCAAAACUGACAAGCUAGAGUAUGGUAGAGGGUGGUGGAAUUUCCUGUGUAGCGGUGAAAUGCGUAGAUAUAGGAAGGAACACCAGUGGCGAAGGCGACCACCUGGACUGAUACUGACACUGAGGUGCGAAAGCGUGGGGAGCGAACAGG
rnacentral:rRNA from 1 species